CCCAGAUUCUUAUUUGUAAAACGGAGAGAAUCGUAGUAUUUAUAUCGCCAUACUGUGCCAAUUAAAUGAGUGAAUGCAUGCAAAGAACUUAAAACGGUGUCCGGAACAGGUAGACUUCAAUUGGUUCCUCCCGGCAGACCGCAUGAAACGUGAUUCUUUCUAAGGAUGCAUUCUUGAGAAGGUGGAAAAUGUGCUUCAGGAUCAUCCGAACGUCGUUGCUCUGACACCCGCAUGAACGGAGCAGCGCACAAAGACCCACUGUGGCGGUUGUGGUGCCUGGAAGAUGGCUCACUCGAUGUGCUGGGACCGAGCUCUGGCCGUUCACAGCCGGAAAUCUCCUGUUGCUCCUUACACACCUCCCUGGAGGGUAGAAAACCCCCUAGAAAAGGCACUGGAAACGGAGAGUUUAAUAAAUCCGGAGUUACGAACACAGCCGUAUCAGCCGUCUGCCCUGCCUUCACUGGACAACUGUUUACUUGAUAACUUGGCACAGAUCUUCCUCUACUUACCUGGUUUAUGUCUCAAUAAACCCAUCCUAGGUUGAAAAUAUUCUAAGUCAAACAUGCGUUUAACACACUGGUACACCUUUCGUUUCCUUACAGACUAAGCGUUACUGGCGUAAAGGGUAGAGUUGGAUCUCUUUGGGGGUGAUGUCCGGGUGUUACUCAUUCUAAAUUCUAGGAGCUGCUUUGUAUAACAGGUGGACACGGCUGGAGAGACCUCAAGUUUGGAAAAUCAAGAUCUCUUUGGAGUUUUACAAGGAAAAUGUUCAAAAACGAGAAACUGACUGUCCCAAUUUGUUUUAGAAGAAAAGUACAAGUUGUAAAACUUUAUUAAUC